rnacentral:rRNA from 1 species
UGGGGAAUAUUGCACAAUGGGGGAAACCCUGAUGCAGCGACGCCGCGUGAGUGAAGAAGUAUUUCGGUAUGUAAAGCUCUAUCAGCAGGAAAGAAAAUGACGGUACCUGACUAAGAAGCCCCGGCUAACUACGUGCCAGCAGCCGCGGUAAUACGUAGGGGGCAAGCGUUAUCCGGAUUUACUGGGUGUAGAGGGAGCGUAGACGGUUGUGCAAGUCUGAAGUGAAAUGCGGGGGCUCAACCCCUGAACGGCUUUGGAAACUGUAUAACUAGAGUGCAGGAGAGGUAAGUGGAAUUCCUAGUGUAGCGGUGAAAUGCGUAGAUAUUAGGAGGAACACCGGUGGCGAAGGCGGCUUUCCGGACUGUAACUGACGCUGAGGCACGAAAGCGUGGGGAGCAAACAGGAUUAGAUACCCUGGUAGU